rnacentral:rRNA from 1 species
AUUGAACGCUGGCGGCAGGCUUAACACAUGCAAGUCGAGCGGAGCGGCGGACGGGCGAGUAAUGCCUAGGUAUCUGCCUGGCACUGGGGGAUAACGUCCGGAAACGGGAGCUGAUACCGCAUACUAUCAGACGAGCCUUGGUCGGUUUAGCUAGUUGGUGGGGUAAAGGCCUACCAAGGCGACGAUCCGUAACUGGUCAGAGAGGAUGAUCAGUCACACUGGAACUGAGACACGGUCCAUACUCCUACGGGAGGCAGCAGUGGGGAAUAUUGGACAAUGGGCGAAAGCCUGAUCCAGCCAUGCCGCGUGUGUGAAGAAGGUCUUCGGAUUGUAAAGCACUUUAAGUUGGGAGGCGUUACCAGCAGAAUAAGCACCGGCUAACUUCGUGCCAGCAGCCGCGGUAAUAC